GUGGGGAAUAUUGGGCAAUGGGCGCAAGCCUGACCCAGCAACGCCGCGUGAAGGAAGAAGGCUUUCGGGUUGUAAACUUCUUUUCUUGGGGACGAAGAAAGUGACGGUACCCAAGGAAUAAGCCACGGCUAACUACGUGCCAGCAGCCGCGGUAAUACGUAGGUGGCAAGCGUUAUCCGGAUUUAUUGGGUGUAAAGGGCGUGUAGGCGGGAAUGCAAGUCAGAUGUGAAAACUAUGGGCUCAACCCAUAGCCUGCAUUUGAAACUGUAUUUCUUGAGUGCUGGAGAGGCAAUCGGAAUUCCGUGUGUAGCGGUGAAAUGCGUAGAUAUACGGAGGAACACCAGUGGCGAAGGCGGAUUGCUGGACAGUAACUGACGCUGAGGCGCGAAAGCGUGGGGAGCAAACAGGA
rnacentral:rRNA from 1 species